AACGAACGCUGGCGGCAUGCCUAACACAUGCAAGUCGAACGAGACCUUCGGGUCUAGUGGCGCACGGGUGCGUAACGCGUGGGAACCUGUCCUUCGGUUCGUAAUCACUCCCCGAAAGUGGUGCUAAUACCGGAUAAUGUCUUCGGACCAAAGAUUUAUCGCCUUUGCAUGGGCCCGCGUUGGAUUAGCUAGUUGGUAUGGUAAAUGCCUACCAAGGCGACUAUCCAUAGCUGGUCUGAGAGGAUGAUCAGCCACACUGGGACUGAGACACGGCCCAGACUCCUACGGGAGGCAGCAGUGGGGAAUAUUGGAAAGUGGGCGAAAGCCUGAUCCAGCAAUGCCGGGUGAGUGAUGAAGGCCGUAGAGUUAUAAAGCUCUUUUACCCGGGAUGAUAAUGACAGUACCGGAAGAAUAAGCUCCGGCUAACUACGUG
rnacentral:rRNA from 1 species